CAGCCUGUGACCAUAGAGGCAGGAAACUGUGACACUGGAGGCAGGCAGGGUGUGGGGUUUAUUCUUGCCUGUCACUGCAGAGACUUUCAACCGCCCAGCCCUGGCUGACUCCAUCAAGCAGUCAAACCUCCAGAAGCGAUGCCUGACCAGAUCUUGCUCCUGAUGCCUGAAGGCUCCUGCCAUUUGUGAUGCAAACAAUAGUCAUUCCAGCCCUACGACUUGUCAGAACCCCCUCCUACGAUCUGCAUUAUAGCAGCAAACAAAAUGGACGAAAAAGAAAGCCUGUCUUCAGAGAGCUUGUAUUCAAGGCUAACAAACUUCCUUACUAUCAUUUACUGUGCGGCUGAGGACCCAAAUAAAACCUCAUCUUCCUUAGCAUGACAAAGAUGAUUCGGGGUCAGUAAGAUGGUUUAGCAGGUUAAGGUGCUUGCAGCCAAGUCUGAUGACCUGAGUUUGACACCCAGGACUCAAAU
rnacentral:lncRNA from 1 species